UGGGUCUCGCUCGUUACCUGACUUAACAGGAUGCUUCACAGUACGAACUGACGACGGCCAUGCACCACCUCUCAGCUAAUCCGGCAAAGUCUUCAGCCUGGCCUUCAUAUUGCUGUCGGUCCCGGUAAGAUUUCCGGCGUUGAAUCCAAUUAAACCGCAAGCUCCACCCGUUGUGGUGCUCCCCCGCCAAUUCCUUUAAGUUUCAGCCUUGCGGCCGUACUUCCCAGGUGGCUCGCUUCACGGCUUCCCUACGGCACCGACAACGGUCGCACCGUGGCCGACACCUAGCGAGUAUCGUUUACGGCUAGGACUACCCGGGUAUCUAAUCCGGUUCGUGCCCCUAGCUUUCGUCCCUUGCCGUCAGGUCCGUUCUGGUGAGACGCCUUCGCCACUGGUGGUCCUUCAAGGAUUACAAGAUUUCACCCCUUACCCCUGAAGUACCUCUCACCUCUCCCGGCCUCGAGCCAGACAGUAUCUCCUGAAAGCCUGACAGUUAAGCUGCCAGAUUUCUCAAGAGACUUAUCCGGCCGGCUACAGACCCUUUAGACCCAAUAAUAACGGUUACCACUCGAGCCGCCGGUGUUACCGCGGCGGCUGGCACCGGUCUUGCCCGGCCCUUGCUAUGAAAUGCUUUUUAGGCAUCUCGACAGCCAGAUUUGUAACCUGGCACUCGAGGUUCCCUUAUCGCUGUUGCCAGCAUUGUAAAGUUUUCGCGCCUGCUGCACCCCGUAGGGCCUGGAUUCGUGUCUCAGAAUCCAUCUCCGGGCUCUUGCUCUCACAACCCGUACCCGUCGUAGGCUAGUAGGUACGCUACACCCACUACUACCUGAUAGGCCGCAGACCCAUCCUUAGGCGCCGGAGCUUUUAAUCUCGGUGCAUUCCAGCAGCCGAGACUUAUAGGGGAUUAUACCCAGUUUCCCGGGUUUAUACCCAACCUAAGGGCAGGUUGUCCACGUGCUACUGAGCAGUACGCCAUGUAUUGCUACAUUCGACUCGCAUGGCUUAGUCGAACCUCGAUAGCAGUAACCUCUGGCAGGAUCAACCGGA
rnacentral:rRNA from 1 species